rnacentral:rRNA from 1 species
UACAGAGGUUGCGAGCGUUGUUCGGAAUUAUUGGGCGUAAAGGGUGCGUAGGCGGCGCGGAAAGUAGGGUGUGAAAUCCCUCGGCUCAACCGAGGAACUGCGCUCUAAACUACCGUGCUCGAGGGAGAUAGAGGUGAGCGGAACUUAGGGUGGAGCGGUGAAAUGCGUUGAUAUCCUAAGGAACACCGGUGGCGAAAGCGGCUCACUGGAUCUCUUCUGACGCUGAGGCACGAAAGCUAGGGUAGCGAACGGG